rnacentral:rRNA from 1 species
CCUACGGGAGGCAGCAGUGAGGAAUAUUGGUCAAUGGCCGAGAGGCUGAACCAGCCAAGUCGCGUGAGGGAAGAAUGUCCUAUGGAUUGUAAACCUCUUUUGUCAGGGAGCAAAGUCACCCACGCGUGGCGUUCCGAGAGUACCCGAAGAAAAAGCAUCGGCUAACUCCGUGCCAGCAGCCGCGGUAAUACGGAGGAUGCGAGCGUUAUCCGGAUUUAUUGGGUUUAAAGGGUGCGCAGGGGGAAGAGCAAGUCAGCGGUAAAAUUGAGAGGCUCAACCUCUUCGAGCCGUUGAAACUGGUUUUCUUGAGUGAGUGAGAAGUAUGCGGAAUGCGUGGUGUAGCGGUGAAAUGCAUAGAUAUCACGAAGAACUCCGAUUGCGAAGGCAGCAUACCGGCGCUCAACUGACGCUCAUGCACGAAAGUGUGGGUAUCGAACAGGAUUAGAUACCCGUGUAGUC